GACGAACGCUGGCGGCGUGCUUAACACAUGCAAGUCGAACGGCAAGGCCCUCUUGUGGUGUACUCGAGUGGCGAACGGGUGAGUAACACGUGGGUAACCUACCCUUCUCCUUUUGCUUACUUCAUGAAACUGGGGCUCAUACCGUAUUGGAGCUCCUGCUGCAUGGGUGGGGUUGGGAAGUCUCGGCGGUUUGGGCUGGACUGGCGGCUUAUCAGCGUGUUGGUGGGGUAGUGGCUCACGAAGGGCGUGACGGGUAGCCGGCCGGGGAGGGUGGACGGCGACAUUGGGCCUGAGAGACGGCCCAGACGCCUAUGGGAGGCAGAGGGCGGGAAGAUGGCACAAUGGGCGGAAGCCUGAGGCAGCAACGCCGCGUGCGGGAAGACGGCCUGCGGGUUGUAAACAGCUGUCGCCUGUGACGAAGCGGGAGUGACGGUAAUGGGUAAAGAAGCACCGGCUAACUACGUG
rnacentral:rRNA from 1 species